UUUCCUGUCAUCCAAAGCAGCUCAAUGAUCCAAAUACAGGAGCAUGGGCAUGUGUGCCGUUAGUACAGUUACACCACAGACAAAUAAUGUGAACCAGGGAAAUAAUAUAAAAAUGAUUAGAAAAAUAUAUCUUGAUACAAAACGAACAAUCAGGUGUUUGCAUGGCAGGCCUGGGACUCUCAGGGAGCCUUCUUUCCAGCACCAUGGACCUCUCUCUGCUCAUUGUUGAGUGUUCCUGAGUAUAUUGUUUAUAUGUAUCUUGUCAGACUCAUCAAGGUCUGACUUGCAUCUGAAACGUUGUUGGUUUAGGAUACACUGGACUAGGAGGUCACCAGAAUCAAGUUCCUCCUGAUGGUGAACAAGCAGGGCCAGACCUGCCUUUCAGGGGUAGGACACAACAGUGAGAAGAUGUACAUAACUGCUGACAGGGGCAUGGACGAGACAAUACAGAACAGAAAGAAAUCCAGUUUGUAAGAAAUUGUAAUAGAGACUGGAAAUUAGUAAUAACUACAUUUCAACAUAAGUCAUCUUUUAUACAUAAGUCAUCUUUUAUACAAAAUACACAUACUCCUCAUUUCUCUUGGACAUAUGCUGGACUUAUUAAGACACCAACUACAGACACACAUAAUUCCCCUCCCCUAUGAUAACCACAGACACACACACAACUCAUGGUUGGAGCUCAAGACAAAGAACUAUCUCAGGAACCAAUGGAACGUGGACACCAGGCCUGUUCAGGACUACCCAAGACCCAGAUCGACCAAUCGGAAGGCCAGACUCGCAGAUCAACCUACUUUGCUUGUUGUCUAUAUAAAACUGUACAACUGUUGAAACUACCCUCUUUUCCGGACGGUUCCAUAAGAAUCAGACAGAAAGAGCCUUGCUGCAAGAUUUUACUAAGAUAUCUUUACAUGUAAUUAAACGGCCUUAUUAUAAAAUUAU